GUUAUGGAGUCCCUGAGGACUAGUUCGGGGACACUGAAAAUAGAGAAAUGGAUGCAAGAGGUACUGCAAUGAAAAACCAAUGCUGAUUAAGAACAACUGAAGAAGCUGCAACUUAGUGGAAAAGACACCAAAUUGUAAGCAGGUUACGUUAUUAAUUGUGAUGCCUUCCCACAAGAGCUGUGUCUGUACUGUGCCACAUAACCCCUGAAGCUGAAUAAAGAACUUUCUCCUUGAUUCCCCCAGCCCUCCAAAAACAUCAGGUGAUGAGGUCCCAUUGUAAAUGACCCAAGGACAAACAGCUCAUGACUUCAAAGGAGGCCUCUUCAACCCAGGGCAAAUUCAGGCCUUCAUUCCAGGGGUCUGUAAGCAAGUACUGAGUGAAGAGAUAUCCUAAAAUCAAUCGUUCCUCUUUGCCAACCCUGGAUAAUGGCAACAACUUCUUUAGUGGCAUGCUGCAUGCUCUGUUUGGUCAUGUCCAGAGAUACCCAAGAUAAAGAAGUUUGAUAAAUAUACACAUUAACUCAGCAAAAAUAACAUGGUUAUUUUCAUGAAUAUUGCACUUGGGCACAUCAGCAAAAUUCAAAAGUGAUAAAAGAAAAAUUGUUGCCUGUCAAAAAG
rnacentral:lncRNA from 10 species